AAAUAUAUAUACGUGACUUACCGAUCGAGGAGUGGUCACCGGAGACGAUGCGAGAGACGGAGAUUAGGUGGAUACGAUUUGUGAUGCGAGGGGUUGAGGGGAGAAGGGAGCGGCUUCACACGACGGAAAAGAGCAACAUAUCACAAUGGCUCAUUAACUUAUAAGUUGGAAUAAGUGUUCUACCAUCUCAAUGUUGCAGAAUCAUUGGAAGGGCUGAAAGAACGAUGGCACACUUUUGCAGAUCCUGCUAGGCUUUUUAGUUUAAGUCACUGAGUGGUAUAUUUAGCUCUUUGAAAAAAAUAUGGCCAGCACUGUCCCUAGAGUCCGUUUUGUCAGAUGUCCGAAAUGUCUUAAGGUUCUCACAGAAUUUGCUGAUGUUCCAGUGUGCAAGUGUGGUGGAUGUAGCACCAUCCUUCGGGCAAAAAACUGUAUUUCUGGUGGACAAAAUGAGAUUUUGUAGGAUCGAUUGGGAACACUUUACUAGAACUUACCAGACAGUGGCUUCUUGAACUAUGGAUUGUCCUAUUCAAGGAAGGAUAUGGUUUCUAUCUCUUCAAAAAUGGAAAGCGAAAGAGAGAAACCAGUAUUUGUAAAUAUUCAAUCAUCUUGUCCAAAUGGUUUAAUCGAUGUGCAUGAGAAGGUAGAAUCAUCAGAGCAUCAAGAAAAUAGAACUUAAGAAAGGGGCCUUGAUCAACACACCCCUCAACCGACUGAUCUUCUUGGGCCUGACACAAAUGACACAAAUAUUGAAGUGGAUAAGAGUUCAAAGCUUUGUCAACAGGGUCGUGAAAGCUUAAAGCUUAGUCAUAGAAUAGAAGAUUCCAUAGAAUCUACUGACCUUGAUACUUCCUUAGAGGAGGACACAGCUGGUGGAGUGUAUGAUGAUAAACAUGAUAAUAUUUUGAGAUCAACUACCAGAAACUCUCAUGCUUAUGAUGCCAGUGUCUCCUCUAUUGAUGAUGGCUGCAGUGAUCAUGUUUGUAAUAAUCAUCCCAUCUUACCUGAAAGUGGUUUUACACAGAAAAAGGCUCUGGAAUCGAUUGAUGCUGAAGGAAAAGAAGCAGAAGAUGAUGACUCUGAGGAGAGAAAGAUGGUUGCUGAUAUUGGAGCAAAACCCAUCCAGUAAGUCCAGAUGAAUCCAUAUGCAGUUCUAGGCAUUACCUUAAGUUUCUUCUUGAAGACAAACUAAUUUUCUAUAUCUUGUACCUUAAGUCCGGCUGAAUCCAGAUGCCAUCGGAGGUUGGGGAUGACCAUUUGAUUUCAAAAUGGUCGUCGCUGGAAUCUCAUCGAAGAAUAAUCACCAGAAGCAAGGGAUGCAAAAUGACGGAUGCUGAAAUAUGGAGGGCCGGCAUCAUAUUUUGAAGGGAGGGAUGCGCAUUUCCAUCUUUUCGAAGGGCAACAUAACGGCAUUAUCACUUAAAUGGAUGGAAGAGGCACAUUGAUACAUUUGGAUAAUUUGGAGAGUCUAAUUGAAACAUUUUAAAUUUGAGAGGGUGUAAAUAAAAUUGAGGUAAACUUGAGGAGGUGUCCGUA